ensembl:lncRNA
CUCAAACUAGAUUUAUUUUAGAAAACAAAUCAGCUUAGAGGCAUUUGUUCACACAUGUGGCUGAAUAGGAUGCCAUCCAAUCAGAUUCGAGGUCUUCACUCUGUAGGUUGUUUGUUCGGUGAGACUCUUGGACAUCCAUCAGCUGACGUGGAUGUUUGAUGGUCUUCCUCUCUAGUUCCAGAUGAUUCAUCCAUGAAUUCAGCAGCUACAGACUGAAAUGAAGCUCAUGCUGCCGUUAUUGAAUUCCUGUUCCAGAUCAAAUGUUCAGAGCUCACCUUGAAUGCAGCUGUCUGCUGUCUGAUAGUUUUUCUCAUUGUAGUCUUCAAUAAAGUCGUUUUCCUCAUGUCAGGAUGUGGUGAGACUCUUUCUCAGUCGCUGCAGACGUCCCUCAUUGUGCAUCUCCAGAGAAGAAACAGAAAAACUGAUCACUGCUUCAGCAUCACAAACGCUCUCCAGCAUUGAGAGUGUUUUAGGAAUUAAUUCAUUGUGUUGUGAACUUUGAAGGAGCAGAAACUUUACAGCUGCCAAAGAUAUGAGCUCCAAUUCUGGAUGUUUUAGGAAAUGAAGUUCAUCAAAUGAACACUUGAUUAUUGUUGAUAACUCUCAUUAAAUUACUGAAGAAAUCUAACAUAAAAACCUAUAAACUCUCAGGCAGCUUUUGUUAAAGUUUGUCUAUAAUUCUAUCAUCAUGUUCUGGAACCAGGACUCUGCAGAAGUUCCUUCAAACAGAUACUUGUGUGUUUCUAUUUAAGGCCUCAGGUUUGAACGUACAGCAGAGGAUUAGAAAGGAAUGAUUUUAAUGUUUAAAUCAGUCCAGUAAAUGUUUGGCAUGAAAAUUAUUAAAAUUUUGAUUUAGAUAGAUUUGUGUCAAAUAAUAUUGUAGAGUCUUACUUAAAUGUAUCCAAAUGAGUUCAGUGUAUUUACAUUUUAGAGAAUAUUUGAUUUCUUAAUCUCAAUACAACCAGAAGAAAACUGUGAUGGUUAAUUUCUUUGACCUGAAAAUGUCAUAGAUCCUGGGAACUUGGAUUAUCCAUCUCAUGUUGGGUGAGUGGACCUUAUGCUGGAUGAACCAGGUUGCUAGACUCUCCCAUUCGCUGGCAGAGCGGCCAUAAAUCGACAGACGGGGCUCUGACCCUAAAUAUUGUAAUUAUGAUGUAAAUUUAAAUAAUAUAUUAGUGCAGAGUCAUAAACUUUAAUCAGCUAAACUUACAUAAUAUCACUGCACAAUCUUAACCUGAACAUUCAUAUUAUUGAGGUAAAUUUACAUAAGUAAUAUAUUCUAGGGUCUUAACUGGAAUAUUUCUAACAUGAAUCUUUUUGUAUUGUGCUGAUAAACAACAAUAACCCGACUUUCAGAUAAUAUUUGUUGUGUGUGAUUGAGACUAAAUUCCUCCACAUUCUGGAACUGGACUGCAUUUCCCAAAAUGGAAACAUGGACAGAAUUUAACACUCAUGUAUCCAUGGCAACGCUAACAUUUCUGCUUCUUACCAAAGUUCACAACACAAGUAAAGAUUUUAAUGUAAAACUUCAGGGAUGACUGCUGACCAUAAGUAUUCUGAUCAAUACUUCAUGAUCAAUAUCAGGACAGAUGUUACAACUCCAGCUGUUGCAUUAGACUGCAGUUAUUCACAGAGAAAUUAAAACAUCACAUUCCUCAUAAAAACUAGAUGGGACUUUUAUUAAAUAAAGUGUUGGUGAAUAAACAAUGUAAAAAGUGCAAAGCAGCUCCAUUAAAUCAGGAGAUGUGAGACUUCCACAGCAUGGAUCACCAUCUGCUGUGUUGAUUCAUAGCUGAAUGUCAGAAUGAACUGAGAUAGAAAAGCUGCUUUGAGCUGCAACAUUACGGUCUGACAAUCCAACACCAUCACAGUUUUCAUCUGGUUGUUUUGCUCCAACAUGCUGUGAAGUUCAGUUUUUACCUGAAUCAAUACAGAGAUUCUAUUUCCAACCAAGACUGAAAUAAAAAUUAGAAUGUUAUGAGGUUAUUAAUGCAACUAAAUCCUUUCAGAUGGAAGGAUUUACUUCUAAGUUCUAAUUCAAGUUUCAGUUGGAGCACAUUGCAUUCACAAAGAAAAACAGUGAUACCUUCAUAGCAACAUUUAAUAAACCUAAAGCUUCCCUGUUGGCACAUUGGUGGAGUUUGUUACUGAGCAUCUGAACCUUAAAUCCAGUGAGACGACCAUCUUCAGUCGAGGCCAGUCAGAGAACU